CCUACGGGCGGCAGCAGUGAGGAAUAUUGGUCAAUGGGCGGAAGCCUGAACCAGCCAAGUAGCGUGCGGGAUGAAGGCCCUACGGGUCGUAAACCGCUUUUGCACGGGGAUAACACCCUCCACUUGUGGAGGUCUGCAGGUACCGUGCGAAUAAGGGCCGGCUAAUUCGGGGCCAGCAGCCGCGGUAAUACGGAGGGCCGGAGCGUUAUCUGGAUUCAGUGGGCUUAAAGGGAGCGUAGGCGGGCGGUCAGGUCAGCUGUAAACUCGCGCGGCUAAACCGCGCCCCGCAGUUGAAACUGGCAGCCUUGAGUUCACAACAGGCGGGCGGAAUUCGUGGUGUAGCGGUGAAAUGCAUAGAUAUCA
rnacentral:rRNA from 1 species